rnacentral:rRNA from 1 species
AGUGAACGCUGGCGGUAGGCCUAACACAUGCAAGUCGAACGGCAGCACAGUAAGAGCUUGCUCUUACGGGUGGCGAGUGGCGGACGGGUGAGGAAUACAUCGGAAUCUACUUUUUCGUGGGGGAUAACGUAGGGAAACUUACGCUAAUACCGCAUACGACCUACGGGUGAAAGCAGGGGAUCUUCGGACCUUUCGCGAUUGAAUGAGCCGAUUUCGGAUUAGCUAGUUGGCGGGGUAAAGGCCCACCAAGGCGACGAUCCGUAGCUGUUCUGAGAGGAUGAUCAGACACACUGGAACUGAGACACGGUCCAGACUCCUACGGGAGGCAGCAGUGGGGAAUAUUGGACAAUGGGCGCAAGCCUGAUCCAGCCAUACCGCGUGGGUGAAGAAGGCCUUCGGGUUGUAAAGCCCUUUUGUUGGGAAAGAAAAGCAGCAGGUUAAUACCCCGCUGUUCUGACGGUACCCAAAGAAUAAGCACCGGCUAACUUCGUG